UACGAAGGGGGCUAGCGUUGCUCGGAAUCACUGGGCGUAAAGCGCACGUAGGCGGAUUGCUAAGUCAGGGGUGAAAUCCUGGAGCUCAACUCCAGAACUGCCUUUGAUACUGGCGAUCUUGAGUCCGGGAAAGGUGAGUGGAACUGCGAGUGUAGAGGUGAAAUUCGUAGAUAUUCGCAAGAACACCAGUGGCGAAGGCGGCUCACUGGCCCGGUACUGACGCUGAGGUGCGAAAGCGUGGGGAGCAAACAGG
rnacentral:rRNA from 1 species